rnacentral:rRNA from 1 species
GACGAGGGGUCCUAGCGUUGUUCGGAAUCACUGGGCGUAAAGCGUAUGUAGGCGGGCUUCUAAGUCAGGUGUGAAAUCCCAUGGCUCAACCAUGGAAUUGCAUUUGAAACUGGAAGUCUUGAAUGUGGGAGAGAUUGGUAGAAUACCUGGUGUAGUGGUGAAAUACGUAGAUAUCAGGUGGAAUACCGGUGGCGAAGGCGGCAUGCCAACAUUGACCGACUGACGCAU